GGACGUAUCCACUCCUUUGAUCGCGCGCGUCGCGGUGACCGCGGACGCA
rnacentral:sRNA from 1 species